GAUGAACGCUGGCGGCGUGCCUAACACAUGCAAGUCGAGCGGCAGCGAGGGGUGCUUGCACCCUGUCGGCGAGCGGCGGACGGCUGAGUAACGCGUGGGAACGUGCCCCAAAGUGAGGAAUAACUGCCCGAAAGGGUAGCUAAUACCGCAUAUUAUCUUCGGAUCAAAGGAUUUAUCCGCUUUGGGAGCGGCUCGCGUCGGAUUAGGUAGUUGGUGAGGUAAUGGCUCACCAAGCCGACGAUCCGUAGCUGGUCUGAGAGGAUGACCAGCCAGACUGGAACUGAGACACGGUACAGACUCCUACGGGAGGCAGCAGUGAGGAAUCUUCCACAAUGGGCGAAAGCCUGAUGGAGCAACGCCGCGUGCAGGACGAAGGCCUUCGGGUUGUAAACUGCUUUUAUAAGUGAGGAAUAUGACGGUAACUUAUGAAUAAGGAUCGGCUAACUACGUG
rnacentral:rRNA from 1 species